CUGGUUGCAAUCGAAGGAAAGAUGUGCUCAGGGCCUCAGAUUGGGCAGAAGGUUCACCUUCCAACAAGACAAUGACCCUAAGCACACAGCUAAAAUAACGAAGGAGUGGCUUCAGAACAACUGUGACUGUUCUUGAAUGCCCCAGCCAGAGCCCUGACUUAAACCCAAUUGAGCAUCUCUGGAGAGACCUGAAAAUGGCUGACGUUCACCAUCCAACCUGACAGAACUGGAGAGGAUCUGCAAGGAGGAAUGGCAAAGGAUCCCCAAAUCCAGUAAUCAGCACCUCCUCGGCCGCGCACCUGUCACCAAACAAACCUUCAAUACCACCUGCAUUAAAGCCUGCCAGAUCCCGGAAAUCCUCGCCAGAGUAUUAGCGUUUCUCCUGCGUACUCCCUCCAUGUUCCCCGCCAUGCUGACCUCCUCUGGCAUGCCGCCGAGCCAUCCACCUGCCCACGCCACAACCUGCUGCACGUUCCCCGACUCAACGACCUGCCAAUACACC